rnacentral:sRNA from 1 species
GUCGCAGGUUCGAAUCCUGCACGACCCACCAAUUUAAAGGUGGUUACUGGUAGAGAACGUGAAGGAUAACGUUGCGUUAGCAACGGCCCGAAGGGCGAGACGAAGUCGAGUCAUCUUGCACGACCCACCA